rnacentral:rRNA from 1 species
GGCGUGCCUAACACAUGCAAGUCGAACGCGAAAGGGGCUUCGGCCCUGAGUAGAGUGGCAGACGGGUGAGUAACGCGUGGGUGACCUACCCUCGAGCGGGGGAUAACGUCCCGAAAGGGACGCUAAUACCGCAUGACAUCCUGCCCUUGGACGGGCGGUGAUCAAAGCUGGGGAUCGCAAGACCUGGCGCGAGAAGAGGGUCCUGCGUCUGAUUAGCUAGUUGGUGGGGUAAUGGCCUACCAAGGCGACGAUCAGUAGCCGGCCGGAGAGGGUGAUCGGCCACACUGGAACUGAGACACGGUCCAGACUCCUACGGGAGGCAGCAGUGGGGAAUUUUGCGCAAUGGGCGAAAUCCUGACGCAGCAACGCCGCGUGGGUGAUGAAGGUCUUCGGAUUGUAAAACCCUGUCGUCGGGGACGAAGGUGGGGGCGUUAAUAGCGCCUUUGCUUGACGGUACCCGGAGAGGAAGCCCCGGCUAACUCUGUGCCAGCCGCCGCGGUAAAAC